ensembl:lncRNA
AUGAAGACACUUCAGGAAGAAACUGAGAAAUCCCAGUGGAGAGCAGCAACGUUUUCACGUGUUCAUCAGCAGACAUGCUGCAGAAGGAAUGGCGCCUGGCGCUUCAUGUCAGAGAUGCCGACAGAGACAAAGAUCAAGGCAGAGAUGGAUUUAGUCGAAAGGCCUCUGAGACUUGAGACAUCCCUCAUACAGGAAUGCCGUCAAGUAAAACGACCGGAUAGUAAUGUCUCCAGGCCUCUCCUGGACCCGACACCUCUUCCCAACAAACUCACCACAGCUGCUCUGUGAAAGACGGCGUCACUAAAGCCCAAUGUCCUCCCGAUCUGGUGAUGUGGGGCAUAAACUGAGUAGAAACUACAGAGGAGAUUCCAAAACAUUCAGAGGUUCUCAACUUAAACACAUGACAGAAAUACAGGGGGGGGGGGGCAAAAAUGUACUCAAGUAAGAGUAGUUACUUUAGCUCAUCAUUAGUGUACAGAAGCCUGAAAAUGGCAGUCAUCAGAGGCAGUUGUGUUUGAGAAGGGUAGGGUUGAAAAGGAUUCAGGACAGUGUUACCUGAAGACCGGGUUUGGGAAACAUGGCAGCUACACUUUUGAUGGAUCUGACAGAAGCUGCCGAAACCCCUCCCACCUGUGAGAAAUGUGUCAGAUUCCCAUACGAGAGAGCAGGUGAGCAACCGCAACAAACUAUUUGAGCGCAAGUUUGUGCAGAUUAAAUAAAACCAGAAACAAAUUAUGGAAAGAAACAAAACAGCAAUCGUUUAUGAAAAGAUGCACAAAUCAAGAAGGGUAGCAUUUGCAGAAACAUUUAGGCUUUGUACCACUGGAGAUGUUUCUCUUGCAGCUUCUUUUCACGGCAAAGAACUACCUAAAAGAUCUGACUCCAAACGACAGCAGUUGAAGUAGCCAACAGUCAUUAUGUGGAGAAAAACUAAAGCUUCACUUUAUGAGCGACAGUGGAGUGCCAAAUUGAAGUCAGAUAAAUAAUCUAUGACCACCAAACCAAUUCACAAAUUAAAAUAUUGCACUUAAAGAACACCCUAAACAAAUCAACAUCUGCCCUUUAGCCCACUCAUGUUUCUGUCUCAACACUGAAGCUGAUGCUUCAUCCUCAAAUUUAACAAGAAAUCUAUGUGUAGAGAUGAGAGGCUUUCCCCUGAAGGGAAUAAUUCAUAACAAGCAGAGAAAAAAAGGAGAAAUAAUUAUCCAUGAAAUGCCAGGUGUUGUUGCAGUUCUCCCUUUGUCCUCUAGGUGGUGCUGUGAGGUAAAAGUCUAUUUUUAGCCUGUCCUCAGCUGGAGGGUGAGAUAUUUAUAGCAAGAGAUGCAUUCACUGCUGUGCUAAGCUCCAGCACGCACAAACACGCACACGCAAGCACGGAGUCACCCACUCUGAAAGCAGUCCAGCCCGAUUUGGCACACUCAAACAUGCAGUCGUUUAAGAGACGUCGGGGUCCUGGAGGAGCUCUCAGACUGCUGCUGAUGUUCACAUUACUGCAUCGACCUGAACACAGGCGGCGCGAUGAGAAUGUUAACGGAUAAGACGGAGAAGGCGUCUUCAUGCAUGCUCGUGUCUGCAGUGCUCACACAGAAGCAGAGGCUGUUCCCUCCCUAAGUGCCCCCUCUAAAAGCCUCUGUUCACCCUGGAGUGGCCCGCUCAAGCAAAUGUUCUCGGCAGGCGGAACAUUCAGCCCCUCAGAUUCCUCUGGAAGCUGAAGCACAAGAGACGGGAACAAUCUGCAGACCCAAUCGCUCCCAGACGGAUGAAGCUGCUGGGAUGAGAGGGGCGUUUCAAGACCAGAAGCCAUCAGUCACCUUCUAAACACCACCUGGAUGAAUGGUAUCCUUCACAGAUCGUCUGGAGACACGCAACACCUUUCAAACCUGCUUUUCUCAUAUAUCUACACAAAAACCCCACACUUCAACAUAUGGAUGUGACCCACUUUAAAUGGCCUUUAGAAAUCUUAUCAAUCCCCAGAAUGGGGUGUUUCCAUGUGACGUCAAAUCAAUACAUUUACAAACACUUUUAUCAGUCAUUUCUACAUAAAUAAAAUCGUGUGGAGACACUAAUGUUUACACGUGUAUCCUUCCAACAUGGAGAUCCAGACGCUAGACUGGUGUGACGUCACUUCCAGUUCAUUAUAUAAUUGCCUUCAAAAUUUGUGCGUUAACAAACUAACAAAUCAGGCGAUCCAGUCUGUUAAUUGAAAGGCUGAGCUGACAGAAUGAAGCUGGUCCGGGUUGGUUACUUGGUACUCACCAGCUGAACACCUGAGUUCGGAGUGAUCCUCGACAGCCGUUUUCCCGUAUGCGCAUGCGCCUCGGAACCCCAUUCGCUUUUCCGAUAACACAAAUUAGCUUCCCAGGUUAGCAGCAGGUUGCAGAAAUCCUCCACUGAAAUCAGAACCGAGCCUGGUUCCUGUUCGACGGCUCGAACCGUUCCCCGGUUACCCGCCUCAAACACACCCCCUCGGGCAGGGGGGAGAGCCGUUAGCUCGGAGCUAGCAUCCUCGCUAGCUGCUAUUUCGAGCAGCUUUAAUUCCUAAAAUUAGAGAUUCUGGUCACUUCCACAAUAAACGCCGAUAUAAAUAUGAAACACAUUUAUUUAUUUUGGAUUAAAUUUACAAAUAAAAUUCUUACCAUCCUAUUUUUGUUGCGUUUUCCGUUUGUUCUUUAGCUGAUGAUUGUGUCGAUUUAGCUUCCAGGGAAUAUCCCGCCCUUUGAGUCUGUCAGUGAAUUAUCAACCAAUAGGAUUAGAAAGAGUCAGUAACUGACCGGCGCAACAACCAAUUAACAUUGAGUUUAAUUGAACACGUUACUCCAGUUUGACAAAAGGCUAAAGUUCUAACUUUACACAUAAAUAAACUGAACACAUAAAUGUGAUUUUUUUCUCAGGAUUUUUAUAGCUAAACACAUAAAAUUCUCCACAUUUAC